rnacentral:tRNA from 4 species
GCCUCGGUGGCGAAAUCGGUAGACGCGCGGGACUCAAAAUCCCGUUCAGCAAUGAGUGUCGGUUCGAGUCCGACCCGAGGCACCA